rnacentral:rRNA from 1 species
GAUGAACGCUGGCGGCGUGCCUAAUACAUGCAAGUCGAGCGAACAGACGAGGAGCUUGCUCCUCUGACGUUAGCGGCGGACGGGUGAGUAACACGUGGAUAACCUACCUAUAAGACUGGGAUAACUUCGGGAAACCGGAGCUAAUACCGGAUAAUAUAUUGAACCGCAUGGUUCAAUAGUGAAAGACGGUUUUGCUGUCACUUAUAGAUGGAUCCGCGUCGCAUUAGCUAGUUGGUAAGGUAACGGCUUACCAAGGCAACGAUGCGUAGCCGACCUGAGAGGGUGAUCGGCCACACUGGAACUGAGACACGGUCCAGACUCCUACGGGAGGCAGCAGUAGGGAAUCUUCGGCAAUGGGCGAAAGCCUGACGGAGCAACGCCGCGUGAGUGAUGAAGGUCUUCGGAUCGUAAAACUCUGUUAUUAGGGAAGAACAAAUGUGUAAGUAACUAUGCACGUCUUGACGGUACCUAAUCAGAAAGCCACGGCUAACUACGUG